CUCCCUUCGAGUCCUGGGGAGCCCUCAGCACUUUGAGGUCCUUCUGAUGCAUCAUUUUGCUCUCUCUGCUGCUGUUACCUCACUCCAGCCCUCAGCUAGAAGAAAUAAUGUGAUUUCCUAAAACGUGGGAAUUAGCAAGUCAAGCCCAGAGAAUUAAAACUGCCCGGAGGCUCAGCUGCCCUGAAAGAAUCCAGUAAAACUCCAUCUCAAGCUAGCAAGAAGCGGAACACGGCAUCUAUUUUUGUUAUGACAUCCUUGAGGUCAGCCCAGCAACAGGGAGGGGAAGAAAUUAAAAGACCCAAACAUUUGCAAGACUGCUCGAUGUUUUAAGGACCUGUAAGGAGGCUGAGGAAUAAGACGUCUGACACAGAGAACUGUGGCUGAAACCUUCCUAAGACUGCUGCCAUUGUGCAAACCAAGUGCACACCAGUAGGAGAGCAGUGCCACAACCGAGCAAUGGCACAAAGCAUCACAGGAGGGGGAGAGAUGGAUGGAAAAAGUAGAGCGAGGUGCAAGUUUCUGCACAGCUGGAGCACAGCUACGGCGCUGGAGAAACAUCUGCAUAGAGCACAGAGCCCUUCAGAUGGCAGGCAAGCAAGUAAGCAAGCCUCUAUUAAAACAGCCCCCUGGGCAACUGCCUGGAGAGCUCAUCCUUGGUCAAGUAUUUGUUUUGAAGAAGGAGUUCUGGCACCCGAGCCGCAGUGUUUGCCUUCAGCCUUUCUGUGUCUCCCUUCCUCCUGUGAGCAGAUUGCUGUGAGAACAUCUUGCUGCUUCCUUCACUUCUGCUGCACCAAAAAGCC
rnacentral:lncRNA from 1 species